rnacentral:rRNA from 1 species
CCUACGGGGGGCAGCAGUGGGGAAUAUUGGACAAUGGGGGGAACCCUGAUCCAGCCAUGCCGCGUGUGUGAAGAAGGCCCUCGGGUUGUAAAGCACUUUCAGUGAGGAAGAACGCCUGGUGGUUAAUACCCAUCAGGAAAGACAUCACUCACAGAAGAAGCACCGGCUAACUCCGUGCCAGCAGCCGCGGUAAUACGGAGGGUGCGAGCGUUAAUCGGAAUUACUGGGCGUAAAGCGCGCGUAGGUGGCUUGAUAAGCCGGUUGUGAAAGCCCCGGGCUCAACCUGGGAACGGCAUCCGGAACUGUCAAGCUAGAGUGCAGGAGAGGAAGGUAGAAUUCCCGGUGUAGCGCUGAAAUGCGUAGAGAUCGGGAGGAAUACCAGUGGCGAAGGCGGCCUUCUGGACUGACACUGACACUGAGGUGCGAAAGCGUGGGUAGCAAACAGGAUUAGAUACCCCUGUAGUC